rnacentral:rRNA from 1 species
AACGAACGCUGGCGGCGUGCCUAACACAUGCAAGUCGAACGGAAAGGCCCUGCUUUUGUGGGGUGCUCGAGUGGCGAAGGGGUGAGUAACCCGUGAGUAACCUGCCCUUGACUGUGGGAUAACUUCAGGCAACUGGGGCUAAUACCGGAUAGGAGCUCCUGCUGCAUGGUGGGGGUUGGACAGUUUCGGCGGUUGGGGAUGGACUUGCGGCUUAUCAGCUUGUUGGUGGGGUAGUGUCUUACCAAGGCUUUGACGGGUAGCCGGCCUGAGAGGGUGGCCUGCCACAUUGGGACUGAGAUACGGCCCAGACUCCUACGGUAGGCAGCGGUGGGGAAUAGUGCACUAUGGGCGGAAGCCUGGUGCAGCAACGCCGCGUGCGGGAUAACGGCCUUCGGGUUGUAUACCGCUUUCGCCUGUGACGAAGCGUGAGUGACGGUAAUGGGUAAAGAAGCACCGGCUAACUACGUG